rnacentral:rRNA from 1 species
CAGCAGUGAGGAAUCUUCCACAAUGGGCGAAAGCCUGAUGGAGCAACGCCGCGUGAAGGAUGAAGGCCUUCGGGUUGUAAACUUCUUUUAUGAGUGAAGAAUAUGACGGUAACUCAUGAAUAAGCACCGGCUAACUACGUGCCAGCAGCCGCGGUCAUACGUAGGGUGCAAGCAUUAUCCGGAGUGACUGGGCGUAAAGAGUUGCGUAGGCGGUUUAGUAAGUGAAUAGUGAAACCUGGUGGCUCAACCAUACAGACUAUUAUUCAAACUGUUAAACUCGAGAGUGGUAGAGGUAACUGGAAUUUCUAGUGUAGGAGUGAAAUCCGUAGAUAUUAGAAGGAACACCAAUGGCGUAGGCAGGUUACUGGACCAUUUCUGACGCUAAGGCACGAAAGCGUGGGGAGCGAACUGGAUUAGAUACCCAGGUAGUCCACGCCGUAAACGAUGGAUACUAGCUGUUGGAGGUAUCGACCCCUUCAGUAGCGAAGCUAACGCGUUAAGUAUCCCGCCUGUGGAGUACGGCCGCAAGGCUAAAACAUAAAGGAAUUGACGGGGACCCGCACAAGCGGUGGAUCGUGUUCUUUAAUUCGAUGAUAAACGAAGAACCUUACCAGGGCUUGACAUCCAGGGAAGGUCUGCGAAAGUAGACUGUGCCUUUUGGAACCCUGUGACAGGUGAUGCAUGGCCGUCGUCAGCUCGUGUCGUGAGAUGUUUGGUUAAGUCCAUCAACGAGCGCAACCCUUGUGUCUAGUUGUAUUUUUCUAGACAGACUGCUUCGGUAACGGAGAGGAAGGAGGGGAUGAUGUCAGGUCAGUAUUUCCCUUACGUCCUGGGCUAGAAACACGAUACAAUGGCUAGUACAAUGCGCAGCAAAGCCGCGAGGUGGAGCAAAUCGCAUCAAAGCUAGUCCCAGUUCGGAUUGGAGGCUGAAACUCGCCUCCAUGAAGUCGGAAUCGCUAGUAAUCGCAGAUCAGCAAGCUGCGGUGAAUACGUUCCCGGGUCUUGUACACACCGCCCGUCAAACCAUGAAAGUGACCAACACCCGAAGUCCGAUUCGUCGGCCUAAGGUGGGGGGCAUGAUUGGGGUUAAGUCGUAACAAGGUAUCCGUACCGGAAGGUGCGGAUG